CAGCUGGCUCUCCACCGCCACUGCCACCACCACCACCACCACAGCACACGAGCACACAGCCUUUCCUUCCGCCCUCCCCUCUGGACUCUCCUAGACCACCCUGGACCCCUGUUUUGACGCUGUUUUGAGAGGGUGUUUUUGACAGCUUGCACUCCCUCUUGUCUCCUAUUCUCUUCUCUGUCAUCUUAUAUGCCUAAAACCUCCACUGGUUCCCACUGACCCUCCUAGUCGGCGCAGCCCCAACAUACUCUCAAUUCAACAUUUCCUCCAGAACAUCUACUGGGGACACCUAGGUCUUCCCUCCUUACCACCUCUCCUCACUCCAUUCCAAGGCCCACCAUGAAAAGCCACAAAUGAGGUUGAGAACCCUGCAUAUGAGGCUUCACAGUUUCCUAAGAAUAGGUAAAGAAGGCAUGUUAAAGUGCCACGCAAUCUGAAAAGCAGAGGAAAGCCAAGUGGAGUUACUACCACCAGCUCCCCAUUAGCUCCACCCCACCACAGAUCUACUGGAUUGAGGUUGGGCAAUGGGGAGGCAGGCUAGAGACACACACAAGCCUAUAGUAAGUUGAGUCUUUGAAGAAUGAGGGUUAAUAAGAGAAAAAAAGAGGAGCAUUAAACACUUAAGAGCAGCCUAGAAACUGAGCCUGGUCAGUCAUUCUCUGUCUCAAUCCCCACCUAGAAAUUGAACACUGACAGUGGAUCCUUAACUUGCAAAGCCAACUCUUGCCUCAGGAGACUGGCUGGGAGGCCCUAGGGAGCUGAACUCAGCUAGAGUGGAUCUCUUUAACCUGAAUGCUAUAGAGGGACCCCAGAGACUCUUCCUGGCUGAAGGAAGGAGCAGGAAACCCCAAGUCUAGCCUAA
rnacentral:lncRNA from 1 species